GGUCAUAUAGCUCAGUUGGUUAGAGCGCACCGUUCACAUCGGUGAGGUCUCUGGUUCGAGUCCAGAUAUGACCA
rnacentral:tRNA from 1 species